UGAGGUUUAGAAAGUAAUGGUUUUGCUAAUUAACCCUUUUCGUCUUCGUGUACUAAAAAUUAAUAUUUGCAUUAUUUCUACUGUGCAAUUUUCGUUAAUGAUUGUUAUGACAUUUAUGCGCGAAACACUGCACUUUAAACAAGACAAAAAAGAAGAGUUUUACCGGCAUUAUUAUUCCAAUCGGCGAUUUUCAUUAGUACAUAGCAAUCAGACUCUUCCCACUUUCAUUAGUAUGUCUCAGUGUUUAUUUAGAAACAUACAAGCACUGUAUAUAUGUAUAUAAUGAUAUAAAAAAGUCAAUCUAAUUCAUUUGUUAAAAAGGACUUAUGUACAUAAUCGGUCAAUUUACGAAACACAUAACAUUUAGAACAAAGCUAUAAACAAGACAUUUUGCAGAACCUGCUCUAGCAUUUAUUGUAGAUUGCAUUUCUGUAAAUACUGACAAAGCAAUUUCCCACAGGAACAUCUUUUACGGUAUACACUGUACCACUUUAACAAUGAAGUUUUAUAAAAAAAAAAAAAAAAAACGCUCAUUAUUUUCUAGAAUGGAAAGCUCAUAUGCAAUACUAUUUUUUCAAAGGUCAAAAUAUAGGGGUGUGCGGCAUAUUUUCAAACAUUCAUAUGUCCCGAACUUUUGAAAGUUAAAACGUAUACUAAAAUUCUGUACUACCCAUCCCUUCACUUUGGAUCUUCCACAGAUUUCAAUUUUACCGCAAUUCAGUUGUAUCUAUACUGC
rnacentral:lncRNA from 1 species